rnacentral:misc_RNA from 1 species
GUUGUACAUAAAAAAAAUUACAGUUGCGUCAUAGUUGCCCCGCUUGGAGAUUGUAAAGCAGCUCUACACGAGAUUUUCUGUUCCUGGAUUUGUGUACCAUUGAAAGAGUGUGCUAUGAGCAUGAGUGCAAUACGUCAUGAUGGCAGUAUUAACCCCUGAGCAGAAUUCUUUCUUAUGUCUUAAAUUAGGUUGGUCUAUCCAGUCUUAUUAUUAAAAGGAGUCAUGUGCUGCUUCCAUGAUCAAUCUACCAGGAAUUAUCUUCCAACACCAUAUCCAAAAGCUCCAA